CAGGUAGAGACUGGCUUGAGCCAAGACUCUGGAUCCAAACACCCAGGAGCUGUGGGGAAGUUGCAGUUUACAGCUGAACACUAUGGCUGGUUUAUCUCUAGCUGCAAAGCAGACCCAGCACAGCAAGAUCAUUAGUGCAAUCAGCUUCUCUUAAACAAUGCACCUGGCACCUGAUUUCCAGGUGGACAAGGGGUUGUCUUGAGUGAUCCCCUCUGGCCAAUGUCUGGAACUGCUCCUUUAUGCUACUCCAUGGUCCAUGAGUUGGGUUCUAGUCCCAUCCCACAACUGUUUUGCUCUAAAUUAACGAAUUAGAGUUUGAUUCUGCCCACACCAGUGGCAAAAGGUGGGGCCCUAAGGUGGCAUUAUGACCCUGUUGGGGCAUACGGUAGCCUGGGGAGAUCAUAUGGCGGGGGGAGGAGGCUCACAUCCUUCAGGAAAUCAACCAUCUUCAGAUACAGUUUAUCUUCCAGAGGGAAAGGAAUGCCCAGUUGCACCAGAGAUUAUCCUGUAUGGACCUUGGAUUUGGAGUUUGUAUAUGGUCAUUGAGGCCUGGUAUGAAUGACGUGUGCUUGACAUGAAUGCGUGCAUUGCAAGUUAGCAGCCAAAGCAAGGACUUAAGGUCAAGGACUUAUAGAACUCUGUGCAAAAACAAUCUUAUGUUCUGAGAAAAAUAAGGAAAACCAUCAGAAAAGGAAAUAACUGAUAUAAAAUUGGAUAAGAAUUGGAGGAAAUGGCAUGCCUUGGAUCAUGGCGGCCCGCCCAGGAUUGUCUCUUUGGAAUUGUGUGGGUAGAAGGCCUAGUAAACAAAGGCAAAGAACCGAUGAUGAGACGGAAUGGACUAUAAAUGAGUGCCUAUGAUUUCUGCAAAUCGGAGUCGUUUAUUGAUCCAAAGUCCCGUGUGGAUAUAGAUGU